GCAUAGCCGAGUUGAGAGACUGAUCGGCCACAAUGGAACUGAGACACGGUCCAUACUCCUACGGGAGGCAGCAGUAGGGAAUCUUCCACAAUGGGCGCAAGCCUGAUGGAGCAACACCGCGUGAGUGAAGAAGGGUUUCGGCUCGUAAAACUCUGUUGUUGAAGAAGAACGUGCAUGAGAGUAACUGUUCAUGCAGUGACGGUAUUCAACCAGAAAGUCACGGCUAACUACGUGCCAGCAGCCGCGGUAAUACGUAGGUGGCAAGCGUUAUCCGGAUUUAUUGGGCGUAAAGCGAGCGCAGGCGGUUGCUUAGGUCUGAUGUGAAAGCCUUCGGCUUAACCGAAGAAGUGCAUCGGAAACCGGGCAACUUGAGUGCAGAAGAGGACAGUGGAACUCCAUGUGUAGCGGUGGAAUGCGUAGAUAUAUGGAAGAACACCAGUGGCGAAGGCGGCUGUCUGGUCUGCAACUGACGCUGAGGCUCGAAAGCAUGGGUAGCGAACAGGAUUAGAUACCCUGGUAGUCCAUGCCGUAAACGAUGAGUGCUAGGUGUUGGAGGGUUUCCGCCCUUCAGUGCCGCAGCUAACGCAUUAAGCACUCCGCCUGGGGAGUACGACCGCAAGGUUGAAACUCAAAGGAAUUGACGGGGGCCCGCACAAGCGGUGGAGCAUGUGGUUUAAUUCGAAGCUACGCGAAGAACCUUACCAGGUCUUGACAUCUUGCGCUAACCUAAGAGAUUAGGCGUUCCCUUCGGGGACGCAAUGACAGGUGGUGCAUGGUCGUCGUCAGCUCGUGUCGUGAGAUGUUGGGUUAAGUCCCGCAACGAGCGCAACCCUUGUUACUAGUUGCCAGCAUUCAGUUGGGCACUCUAGUGAGACUGCCGGUGACAAACCGGAGGAAGGUGGGGACGACGUCAGAUCAUCAUGCCCCUUAUGACCUGGGCUACACACGUGCUACAAUGGCCGGUACAACGAGCAGCUAACCCGCGAGGGUGUGCAAAUCUCUUAAAGCCGGUCUCAGUUCGGACUGCAGUCUGCAACUCGACUGCACGAAGUCGGAAUCGCUAGUAAUCGCGGAUCAGCAUGCCGCGGUGAAUACGUUCCCGGGCCUUGUACACACCGCCCGUCACACCAUGGAAGUUUGCAAUGCCCAAAGUCAGUGGCCUAACCA
rnacentral:rRNA from 1 species